AUUGAACGCUGGCGGCAUGCUUUACACAUGCAAGUCGGACGGCAGCACAGAGAAGCUUGCUUCUUGGGUGGCGAGUGGCGAACGGGUGAGUAAUAUAUCGGAACGUACCGAGUAAUGGGGGAUAACUAAUCGAAAGAUUAGCUAAUACCGCAUAUUCUCUGAGGAGGAAAGCAGGGGAUCUUCGGGCCUUGCGUUAUUCGAGCGGCCGAUAUCUGAUUAGCUAGUUGGUGGGGUAAAGGCCUACCAAGGCGACGAUCAGUAGCGGGUCUGAGAGGAUGAUCCGCCACACUGGGACUGAGACACGGCCCAGACUCCUACGGGAGGCAGCAGUGGGGAAUUUUGGACAAUGGGCGCAAGCCUGAUCCAGCCAUGCCGCGUGUCUGAAGAAGGCCUUCGGGUUGUAAAGGACUUUUGUCAGGGAAGAAAAGGCUGUUGCUAAUACCGACAGCUGAUGACGGUACCUGAAGAAUAAGCACCGGCUAACUACGUG
rnacentral:rRNA from 1 species